UACGUAGGGGGCAAGCGUUGUCCGGAAUCAUUGGGCGUAAAGAGCGUGUAGGCGGCUCGGUAAGUCCGCUGUAAAAGUCCAGGGCUCAACCCUGGAAAACCGGUGGAAACUGUCGAGCUAGAGUCCGGAAGAGGCGAGUGGAAUUCCUGGUGUAGCGGUGAAAUGCGCAGAUAUCAGGAGGAACACCAAUGGCGAAGGCAGCUCGCUGGGACGGUACUGACGCUGAGACGCGAAAGCGUGGGGAGCAAACAGG
rnacentral:rRNA from 1 species